UGGCUUUAAAUUCUUCCUGUUCAGUAAGUGACACGACAUCAUAGCUCGCUGAAAGGACUCAUUAUAUCCAAUCUAUCUGAAAAUGGACCAGAUUACCAAUGCUCUCCAACCAUGUAAACAGUUCGCUAAAGAUUCCAUGAGACUCGUUAAAAGAUGUACGAAGCCGGAUAGAAAAGAAUUUCAGAAAAUUGCCCUUGCUACAGCUAUUGGUUUUGCCAUCAUGGGAUUCAUUGGUUUCUUUGUUAAACUGAUCCAUAUUCCUAUCAAUAACAUCAUUGUACAGUAGCAUGUGUAACCUCAGGU